rnacentral:rRNA from 1 species
GACGAACGCUGGCGGCGUGCUUAACACAUGCAAGUCGAACGAAGAGCGACGGAAGCUUGCUUCUAUCAAUAUUAGCGGCGCACGGGUGAGUAACGCGUAAUCAACCUGCCCUUCAGAGGGGGACAACAGUUGGAAACGACUGCUAAUACCGCAUACGAUCUAACCUCGGCAUCGAGGAUAGAUGAAAGGUGGCCUCUACAUGUAAGCUAUCACUGAAGGAGGGGACUGCGUCUGAUCAGCUAGUUGGGGGGGUAACGGACCACCGAGGCGAUGAUUAGUAGCCGGUCUGAGAGGAGGAACGGCCACGAUGGGACGGGGACACGGCCCAGACUCCUGCGGGAGGCAGCAGUGGGGAAUCUUCCGCAAUGGACGAAAGUCUGACUGAGCAACGCCGCAGGAGUGAUGACGGCCUUCGGGUUGUAAAGCUCUGUUAAUCGGGACGAAAGGCCUUCUUGCGAAUAGGGAGAAGGAUUGACGGUACCGGAAUAGAAAGCCACGGCUAACUACGUG